CCAGCUCAUUAGCUCAUGGGGCUCACCUGGUGUUUUGUUCACUUGUUCAAAGAGCUUGGUUUCACUUCAAUAAUCAAACAUUUAUAGAUUGAAUGACCGUGGUUCCUCUUCAGAGAGGCCCAGAAACAGGCUUCUUCACUGUGUAUUGUAUUGUGUAAACUAAAUGACAAAAAGCUUCAUAAACGUCACAGAUAAAACAUCCCUGCAAGCUGCGUUUAUCAGCAUGACCCCAAACGCAGGUGGAAGUUGGUUUAAUGCACUUUCUCUGCUCCAGCCAUCGGUCAGAUCUCUCCAAGAGCGAGCUCAGCAUCGGGGAGGAGAUCGAGGAGGUUUCCAUCGAGGGACCCGACAACAGCGACAAGUUCGACGACACCACUCAGGACCUGAGUGUCUCCCAGCUCAGCCAGAAUCAUGGCGCCGACUACAUGGAGGAGGUGGCCUGACCGUCCCAUCACCCAGCACGGUUCCCAUGAUGCACCUCUUUGUAUCGUCCAUAUUUAAAUCUGUACAGUUUCAGCCAAUAAAUGUGUUUGUUUUGA